UUCGGAUCGCGGCGACGGCAGCGGUUCGCCGCCGGUGACGUUGUGAGAAGUUCAUUAAACCUUAUCAUUUAGAGGAAGGAGAAGUCGUAACAAGGUUUCCGUAGGUGAACCUGCGGAAGGAUCAUUG
rnacentral:rRNA from 1 species